UACGUAGGGGGCAAGCGUUGUCCGGAAUCAUUGGGCGUAAAGAGCGUGUAGGCGGCCAGAAAAGUCCGCUGUGAAAACUCGAGGCUCAACUUCGAGCUGUCGGUGGAAACUUUCUGGCUAGAGUCCGGAAGAGGAGAAUGGAAUUCCUGGUGUAGCGGUGAAAUGCGCAGAUAUCUGGAGGAACACCGGUGGCGAAGGCGGAUCUCUGGGCCUUACCUGACCGCUGAGGCGGCGGAAAAGCUAGGG
rnacentral:rRNA from 1 species